GGGGGGGGGGGGAGAAUGGCUGCUGAGAGGCUUCCCACUGCGGAGGGCAGUGUUGUGUUAGUGUGAUCUGUCUGAAGUGAAACAUACAGAGGAAGAUCCCUAAACAUUAAUUGGGAGAAACCUGUGCAGGAGCUCUCUGUAAGGAACAGAUAAAAUAUUGCUGAGGUGAAAGUAAAAACUUCUUAUAAGAAGCUGUAAGGCCUGAGUGAGGUAAAACUCUGGUGCAAGUCUCACCACAGCUUUUAUUUAUAAGUCUACGGAAGAAGACUUCCAUCUACAAGUGAGAACAUACCCAUGUUUGAAUAAAUAUAUUGUUAUCAUUUAUAUGUUUAUGAAAGUAAAGUUUUUCUGAAUACAAAGAGUCUGGACAUUGUAUAGUCUUUACAAAGAAGCUAUCAAUCACCUAGAAGAAUUACUUAGCUUCCUAGCUGUAAGCUACUCUGCUUCUUCGCAUAUCAUCAAAAUUUAUUUUCCUACACAUAACAGGCCUGACCCCCUGUUUGAAAAAUUUUUGGGGGGGGACACUGCCUUGCCCCCCCCCCCGAUGGUGCCACUGCUUGGAUAAAGGGAGAGAGUCAGAAGAAGGCUGAUCAAUCGCAAGUGCAAACCCCCACCUCGCCCCUACCAUAACUUUCAUUGGAGGCCCCCAAAGCACUGGGGUUUUAGUCAGUAUUUGUUGUUUGCAUGUGCUAGUUUUCACUUAUUGACUCCAUACUGGCCACAUAUAAAGCCUUUAUGCAGAACGGCUUAGUUUGUCAUGAACGAUAAACCUUGGGUUUUCUUUAUCCUUUCAACCAGCAGUCUUACCAGUUUUUUUUUUCUUUCUGCACACAGCUGCAAUAUAUUUACAAAACUCCAGCAGGAGCCAGACAUAUGCACAUGCAUCACCCGUGCCUUACAGAAAAUUGCUCUGUGGAAGUUUUGCUGCAGCAUGAUGUGUGUAAUAGGUGAGCAGCCUCUAUCUUGCCUCAUUUUCUGCGCAAGCUUUCCUUUGACUUGAUCCAGCAGGGCUCUUAUUAAGCACCAUGAGGAGAUGCCAGGUCUGAGGUCUGGCCAGGGCUGAACCUACACAUGUAGUGUGGAGAGUUUGGGAAAAGAAAACCAGAGAAGACUGAUUUGAUUCAUCCUCCUGAAUCACUUCCCACCCUACAGUCAUUCAGAACCCCAGUGCUUUGGGGGCCUCCAGUAAAAGCUAUUGUAGGGGGGAGGUGGGGGUUUGCACCUGCGAUGGAUCAACCUUCUUCUGACUCUCUCCCUUCCCAGACAUCUCACUUGCAUGUGUGAACCUGCCACCCCCCUCAGAUUGAUGUGUUCUCUUGGCCCUGCGAGGAUGCAGGGGGAACGCAGAUGAAAUAUAUUGUUUUUCAGGUAGAAUAGCUUCCAAAAUGGUACAUUUGCUUUCAAAGCACUGUUUGGAAUGCAUAUGAACCGCUGCCUCCAGCUACAAGAAACUAAGCCAUUAAAGUUCAGAUGGCAGUGGUUUCUGGGUUUGUUUUUUUUCUUUCCCUUCCACCAAAUGAUUCAGUCUUUCCCUCGUUGCUCUGAGCAAGAAAGGAAGAGAAAGUGAAGGGAAGCUUAGGCUUUGCAGGUUCAGAUUGCAUUGCCCCCAUUGGGAUCUCUGCUGCAGGCUAAAUCUGAGUGCUGUGUUCCAUUUAAUUGUGCCUAGGAAAGUUAUUCAAGCCCUGAAGAUCCUGGGGGCAGGGGGCUUUAUUGUCUCUUUCCCCCAUUAUAUCUCUUUCCGCAAACUUAUUGAACAGAGUUGACACAGCUUGGUGUGGUGAUGGAGAGGCAAUGCAUAGGAGCUGUGCAUACUUGUUAUCACUCGGAAGAGUAGCUUAGGAAUGGGAGGGGGAGGGGCACCCUGGACAGCACUGGGGCUGCAGGGGACCCCAGUCACUGCCUCCCCUCCUGGUCGCCCUCCAGCAGGCCCAGCGCUGCCUGAAAAAGCAGUGUGAGGCACACUGUGGGACAAGCAAGCCUUCAGGGCAGGAUCCAGUAGGGGUGAAACUGGGCUUUCUGUCACCUGGGUCAAAAACCCAGUUUGGCACCCCACCCCCAGAUGUAUGUUUGUGUACAUACAGUACAUACACAUACAUACAUACAUAUGAACACACCCCCCCACACACCUCAACACAUUUAUUCGUAAAGAGCAUAAAAAGCAGACAAUAUAUCAUUUGAACAUAAAGUAAUCCUAAGAAGUAUUACAACCGUAUGACCAAAGGGAAAAUGAGCAUCUCUUCCAGUAAAAAGUAGAACUUCAAUGUGCAACAAUUGUCUAUCCAAGGUCAGGUUUUGAAUUGGAUUUGUUUGGUCACAGGAUCAUUAAGAGACUGCAUUUUCAUAUGAUCAGCCCAGACCCUCUGGUUUCCUUAAAAAAAUUUUUUUUUCAUCUUUGAGACUUUAUGCCACCCACCCACCUUCUUGGUUCUGUGCAAACCCUUUCAAGGAGUUUUGUCGUGUAAAUUUACUCAUGAGUAAGCUUCAACAAGAUUCCUUUCAAUUUUAUUUUUGUUUGAUUACUCAUUUUAGGAAAUGAUAAUUUUGUAGUCAUUUUAGGUUCCAUGUUAAGGGAAGAAAUGCUUUUUGCAAGUCUAAAGUAGAAAGUGCCCUUCCAUUACAAUCCUAAUGCAGCCAAGCUGACCAAAACUUGUCAGGGAACUGCCUCUGGCAGGAAAAAUGCUCACACACCCACCCUUUACUUUCCUGUGUGUAGAUCAUGUAUACUUUGUAAAAUGACCCAACUUUAGCUGUUUAAACACAUUCUAAGCUCUGAAGUGUUCAUAGAAUCACCCCAAGGAUCAUCUAGUCCAACUGAUUCUCUUCCGCAGCUUCCCACCCCUCCCUCCAUCCCUCCAGAGUUUCUUUCACAUACAGUAGCAAACCCACAGGGGAUCUUAUCUUUUGCUUCAUUGGGAAGAGCCACACAGCCUCUCCAGAUUUCCCAACUCUCCUUCUCCUUGCAGAUGAGCCUUCUUCAGCUUCAUGGGGAAAGGCGAAGAAGGACGGAGUUUGCGGCUGCCAUUCACUUUUUCAUCUUUCUCUCCGGCUGAAGCCCAGACAUGCUGGGAGGCUGGGAGCCUCAAUGGCGCCCCUCUGGAGGCUUCACCUGGGACAGAAACCCUGGCUAGAGCCCCCCCCCCAGCUAUGUCUCUGGCUGACACAGGUCACUUCAGAGGUGGCUGUGCUUUGCAUCACACCCAUUCUGCGAGUUGCCUCUUUUCCAUAGGAAGAAAAGCUGAUCAGCAUGUUGAAAAAAACGUUUCCCUUUGUUUCUGGUUUUCUUUUGCAACAUGGCAUCCACUCCUUCAUAGUGGCUCUCCCGCAGUAACUCUUGGAGAGCCUGGAGGAGCAAGAGCUGCAGAGGUAGCGUGGGGGCAACACAGAGGCACAGUGCCAGCUCUGCCCCUCCAAGUCCCCCUCCCCCUCCAAGGCUGGCUGGCAGCUCUUGGGUGGCACCUAUUUCCUUCCUGGCCUCUUCUCAAAAGUUUAGGUCUAACUUUGGGUUGUUCCUGGGAGGGAGGGCUGGCAAACCGCACUGGAGCAGCUGGCAAACUGUGGAGCCAGGUGAGUGAGUGGAGGGGUGGGGCAGAAGAACCCAAGAAGAAAAGUUAUUUUGGAGAGAAAAUGUGUCAGGAUGCUGCCAGCGAAUCUUGGCUGGUUGCCCAGGAAUGUACAAAGACAAGGGAAUUUUUCUUACUGUCCGCUUUUUAUUCAGUAUUUACAGAGAGAGGCUAUAGAACCCAGCCUCUUAGAUAAUGGCACUAUCCCGAGUGAAUUUACAUCCUGCCAUCUCUCCCAAUUCCUCGUUUGUGGAACGGGUGCUGCUAUGUGUCCUCUGCCUUUGAGCUCUUUGCUCUCCUACUUUCAAGGCCUGCUGUGUUCUAGGAGGGGGGUCUGGAAUGCUUUCUAAAGACACUGUGUCUGUCAGCUGUUACCCCCCUGGUGCUUCCUCCUUCUCCUCCUCUCCCACUAUUUCCCAACUUCCCCCCUCAUCUGUCUCUGAGCUAUGACUUCCCUCAACCCCCUGUUGUAAAUCUACACUGUCUUCCUCUUCCUCUUCCCUGGAAGGGACAAGCUGGGGAGGCAGUCUUCACCAUUCCUCCUCUUCCCAGUCUCUGACAAAAUGCCAAACCACCUUCUCACCUGGUGGGGAGAGGGAAGCUGUCCCAAAACCAAAUGUGGGAGGGAUGCAUUUGCUUGGGUGGCGCACCCCGUGCUGUUUGCCCCACCCACUUGGGAUGCCCCACCCCCUUGGGUUGUACACCUGCAAACCACACCCCUCACACACUUCACCAGGCACUGGUGGGGGGUGCUAUGCUAUUGACUUGGAAUGGUGAUCGAGGGGAGCAAAAAUUACAUGUUUGCUCUUAAUUUGUACAUGGAAUUGUGAAGAGGGCAAUAAAUAUGAGCUGCUGUAUAUGCUUGUUAUCCACAUGGAAAGGUGAUCAAGGACAGCAAACUAUUAUUAUUAUUUGCAUUUAUUUGUUGCUUUUUGUAAAAGUCUCAAAGCAACUUCCAAUUCCAUAAAAAUGCAAAAACAAUUAGAAACCAGUUAGAAACCAGAUACAAAAAUGGAAAGGAAACACUAUAAACUGAAUUCCUAAAGUGCUCAUCCAGCGAUACUAUAAAAAGGACAAAUCCUACAAAAUAUUUUCUGUGCAUGCUAAAUUUGCACUUGGAAUGGGAAUUGAGGGUAAUAAAUAUGAAGUGUGCAUGGUUGUUUUGCACAUGGAGGUAACCGAGGGCAAUAAAUAUGAAGUGUGCAUGGUUAUUUCACACACAGAAUGGUAACUGGGGGCAAUAAAUAAUAGCAAUUGCUCUAACAGUACCAAUUUCCAGAGGAGCAGCCAUAUUAGUCUGUUGAAGUAAACAGACUAUCAAAUGUAUUAUGACAAAAGCCUUCAUGUGGAAGGACCAUCACUCAGUGGUGAAGCAUCUGCUCUGCAUGCAGAAAGUUGCAUCUUGAGUCCUCAGUAGAGAGAGAGAGAGAGAGAAACCGCUUCCUGAAACCCUGUAGACCUGCUGCCACUCAGUGUAGACAAUACAAAGCUAGACGGACCAAGGAUCUGACUCAGGAUAAGGCAGCUUCCUGUGCUCAUGUUGUCAGAUGCAGGAAAUAGAAUACCCAGUCUGCUUGGCAGAUAGCUGCAAGGCAGUCUUUACCUGAAUGAGCUUGCCCUGGCUCAGAUGAAUGAUGAAGGCCCUGCUCAAAGAUCUGUAAAAUUGGUUGCCUCACACAUGUGGAGCUCCCUCCCAACCACUGUGUGUUUGGCCCUUUCAAUAUGGCCUUUAAAAGCUCUCCCACGGAAUCAUAGCAUCAUAGAGUCUGAACGGACCCUGAGGAUCAUCUAGUACAGGCUUCCUCAACCUCGGCCCUCCAGAUGUUUUGAGACUACAAUUCCCAUCACCCCUGACCACUGGUCCUGCUAGCUAGGGAUCAUGGGAGUUGUAGGCCAAAAACAUCUGGAGGGCCAAGGUUGAGGAAACCUGGUCUAGUACAACUUGCAGCCUUGCUUGGCGUUAUCAGCACCACACUCUAAUCAACUGAGCUAUCCAGCUGAGUAUCCAUCUCAUACUGCUUCAUCUUAAAGGUCUUAUUGUGGUGCUGAUUUAAUUAUUUUAUUGUGUUUUUUAGCUUAUUUCAAUGGUGCUGACCUAUUACUGAAAUAUACUGCUUUUUAAACAUCUCCUUCGGGAACAAUGGGGCCAUGACCUUCAAAUUUGGAGGGGUCAUUUAUUUAUUUAUUUAUUUAUUUAUUGAGGAGUGGUGGAUACUGCAAUGCAUUCUUCCAGUCUUUUAUUGUGCCCUAAUCCAGAGGGCAUCAGGAUGCCACGGCAGGAUUAAAGCCUGCUGAAUGAGAACCUCAGCUCUGGCAUGUUAGAAAGGUUGUCACGUCUUGUUGUUUUUCUUUUUACUCUUCCCAUUCAGAGUUGCAGGUUUCUGCAAUGGUUGGCCAAAGAAAAAUAAUCUGAGCACAGAUUCCCAAGCCACUUUUGCAAAUUUGAAACCGGGGGAGCUCACAGCUGGAGCAACUUCCUUGAUGGUUAAUAAUUUUCCAGGGGCUGAAGUACCUCUGACACACAAAUUACUAUCUGUGCUUUGAACAUGCAAAGCUGCAUAGCCGGGGUAAGUGUUAUUAUUACUGCUGAAAGAUUUAUGCCCUGGCUAAAUUGUAAUUUGGGUAACUGUAUUCUAUCUGCCUAAAUUGCCCCUUGCGGUUACGAUUGUAUACAGUAGCUUUCAUUACACGCCUUGGCCUCUGUUCUUGGGGAGCUUUGCAAUCAGCAGUGGUUGAAAAGCCAGAUCAUCCAUCCCCACUGAUGGCAGAAAUCCAGGAGUGAAUUAUAAUGUAGUUCAGGGUCAAACACAGCAGAUAGCCCAGGAGUGGGGAGAAACAGGUACAGGUUACCAGAUCCUGAAAAUCCAUUGCCAUUAGAAUAAUACUGAAACUAAAUUAUAUUUCGCAGUAUGCAUAUAGAAUGUCCAGACCUUGUAAGAUAAACUAGAGCCAAUCAAAAGCAGUGUUAGAACAGAUUGAGAGAGAGAGGCGGUGUGGAGGGUUGUGUGUGUAGUGGUUAGAAAUUUGGACUAGGAUCUUGGGAGACUGGGUUUCAAAUCCCCACUCAGCUAUAGAGCUCACUUGGGCCAGUCACUCUUUCUCUGCCUGUCCUACCUCCCAUGGUUGUUGUGAGAAUGAAAUAAUAAUAAUACAUUUUUAUUUAUACCCUGCCUUUCCUGGUUCAAAAACUGGGCUCAGGGCGGCUAACAGCAAAUUUAAAACACUUAAUUGUAAAAGCAACAUAAAAUACUGUAUAAAAACAUGAAUAACAAUAAAAUUCAAAGUUCAGAAAUCAGUUUAGGGGAAAUCCGUCUAAUAAGCUUUAGAUAAUCACCAGGGCUAGCUGGCUGAAUGAGUCCUACUUGGGCCAGCGAGGAGGCCAGGGGAGAAUUAGCUGUGGGGUCUCAGAGCAGGUAAUCUUCAUAAAAGGGGAGGGGAAGGGAAGAGAGGGGAAUAAAAGAUCAGGCUAAAUUCAAAUUGAAAGCCAGGUGGAAUAGCUCAGUCUUACAGGCCCUCUGGAAGGAGGUUAAAUCCUGCAGGGCCCUAGUCUCAGGGGACAGAGCAUUCCACCAGGCCAGAGCCAUCACUGAAAAGGCCUUGGCCCUGGUGGAGGAUAGUCUGACUUCCUUAGGGCCCGGGACCUCUAAACUAUGGUUAUUCAUGGACCUUAAGGUCCUCUGCGGGGCAUACCAGGACAUGUAAAUGAGGAAGGAAAGAACCAUGCACAUCACCUACAGUUCAUUGGAAGAAAGGUGGGAUAGAAAUGUAAUAAAAGCAAGUAAAGUAACAUUUUUGAACACUAAGGUUGUAUCGGGCCAAGGGAGGUAUGAUGAUUAUAAUACAGUUGAAACCAAAACAAGGCCAACAGGCAGGAACAGGAGUACAGGUAAACACUCAUUACAAGGGGGCAGGGGGCAGAGAGAGCUUGUAAAGGAAACUCUAGGGCAGAGGUGGGGAACCUUAGUUUCUGGGGGCAGAUGUGGCCAGCCUUCUCAAGACGCACUCCUUGCCAGCCUUGAUUCACAUCUCCCUUGACUUCUUUUGCCUGGUUCAGUGUUCCCCAUCCAGGUGGUACUUGUCCACAACUAUUCACUUGGUUGAGCGAGUGACUAUGGACCUGAACUUGCCUGAGUGCAUUUUAGACAGUGGGAACCCCAUUUACUUUGUCCUGGGGUUUGUUUCUGUUUUUAUUCUGGUGGUGCUUUCAAUUUUAUGUUUGCAUUGCAUUUUUUAAAGACAUUUUACGGUUAAUAAUAAUAGCGUUUUGUAGGUUGCCCAGAGGAUUUAUUGUUAAAGGGAUGGCAGAUGAAUAAAUAAAGCCAAGCUUCUCACACAGAAAUACUGUAGUCUGCAAUGCUUAAGCAGUUCAACCCCACCUUCUAACCAAUCGAAUGAGUCAACCCAACUUUCUAACAUAGUUCCCUUUUGUUUGGGUGGCAAAGUCACUGAGUUCUGUAACCGGGGGCUGGUGAAGGGGAGAAAGAAAUAGAUUUACCGAAGAAGGGGUAUGCUAAAAAAAUGAUAAGUAAAGAGAUCUAUUAAAGGGUAGGUAGAGGCAGAGAACAGUGUGUUUAUUUCUGUGGCACUACUGCACUUUCUCGCUCUUCUUUCUCCCCCCCCCCACUCCAUUUAGUGUUCUGGACAAACUAUUCCCCCCUCCACAGUCAAUUCAGCAUUUUUCAGGAAACAAAAUGUGACCUCUCUUAACUCCCAGGCACUUGUUAUUUCAUACCUUCCUGCCAGGCUGGAUCCUAAUCAACCAGAAAAACUCAAAAUGACAAACAAACAGGAGACAGCUUUGCUAUCCGAGGUUCAUUAGCUCCUGGCGACCUUUUAAAUUUCCAAGAAAUGCACAAAAAGAAGAAUGGGGGGGGGGGGAGACACACACACAGUGGGGAGGUCUUUAAGUCAUAGUGUUCCUUCCUCCAUCCUUGCCUCUCCACAGAUUGCACACAUUUUCUAUGUGCCUUGUAAUGAGUCGUGUGUCUCUGCGGUAUUCUCAGGGCCUGCACUUAGCCAAGCAAACGCAGAGAGGAGCUCUGGACCAGAGGCAGCUCUGUUAAGGGAUGACAGGCAAUAUAUUUGCAAUCUCUCAAGGUCAUUCAUCUCCCCAAGGUUAUUGCUGGUUUUGUGCAAGUGUGUGUUUGGCUGGGAAUGAAGGCAAAGAUUAACGGGUAAGUUUGCCACACCAUAGCAUACAUGCCAGCAGCUAGUAGAAGCCCCCCGCCCCCCAGCAAAGUAUGGGAGGAAGGCUGUGACUGCAUGGCAUCCAUGGCCUCUGUUUGUGUCAAAUAUUAGAUUGUAAGCUCUUUGGGGCAGAACUUAUCAUCUUGCACACUAUGAAAUACAUUGAAUAUUGAUUUGCUACUGUGUAAUAUUAGAAGAUGAUAGUGAAGUAUUGCAGGCCUCCCUGCCCCCUAAAAGAUGAGCACCAUAGAAAAGACUGCCAUCAUACCAAGGUGUGAUCCAAAUUAACAACUAAAAGCCUGGGUGAAGCCUUGUGGUUGAAAACUGACAGUGAAGGCACCAGGCAUGUUCCCCUGUGGAGAGCAUUCCACAAAAUUGAACCCAGGGUGGUGACAACCCCCAUAGCCUUCCAAGCCUGCACAGCAAAAAUGAUUUUUUAAACCAGUGCAGAUGUUAUAGCUUUGAUACCAAGGCAGCUUUCCCUACCUGGGAUGGCGGCUAACAGAUUGAGGUUGAAUCCUGACAAGACAGAAGUACUGUUUUUGGGGGACAGGAGGCGGGCAGGUGUGGAGGAUUCCCUGGUCCUGAAUGGGGUAACUGUGCCCCUGAAGGACCAGGUCAUUUUGGACUCACAGCUGUCCAUGGAGGCACAGGUCAAAUCUGUGUCCAGGGCAGCUGUUUACCAGCUCCAUCUGGUACGCAGGCUGAGACCCUAUCUGCCCGCGGACUGCCUCGCCAGAGUGGUGCAUGCUCUGGUUAUCUCCUGCUUGGAUUACUGCAAUGCGCUCUACGUGGGGCUACCUUUGAAGGUGACCCGGAAACUACAACUAAUCCAGAACGCGGCAGCUAGACUGGUGACUGGGAGCAGCUGCAGAGACCACAUAACACCAGUCUUGAAAGACCUACAUUGGCUCCCAGUACGUUUCCGAGCACAAUUCAAAGUGUUGGUGCUGACCUUUAAAGCCCUAAAUGGCCUUGGUCCAGUAUAUCUGAAGGAGCAUCUCCACCCCCAUCGUUCUACCCGGACACUGAGGUCCAGCACUGAGGGCCUUCUGGCGGUUCCCUCACUGCGAGAAGCCAAGUUACAGGGAACCAGGCAGAGGGCCUUCUCGGUAGUGGCGCCUUCCCUGUGGAACACCCUCCCACCAGAUGUCAAAGAGAACAACAACUACCAGGCUUUUAGAAGACAUCUGAAGGCAGCCCUGUUUCGGGAAGCUUUUAAUGUUUGAUGUAUUAUAGUAUUUUAAUAUUCUUUUGGAAGCCGCCCAGAGUGGCCGGGGAAGCCCAGCCAGAUGGGCGGGGUAUAAAUAAUAAAUUAUUAUUAUUAUUAUUACCUCAUUCACCCCACCUCUGCUCACAUCUAGCCUGAUGGAAUGUUCUGGUGGACUCACAGAUUUGCUCACUCUCUUGUGACAUGGCUGAUCAAUUAUAAUAUACGGACUUAGUGGAUUUUUCAAAAUAUCGAAUGUAAUUAUCCUUAGCAUUGCAUGCUAAUGCAACCUCCCUCUUCCUCUGCUUAUCUUAGAUGACUAGGUGGGUUUCUCUCUGGGAAAUGGUUAUUUAUUUGCUAUGCAGAGGACUUUCUUAAAGCGCCCCAGGAGAUGACAUCAUAAUCCCUGCUGUGGAAUAAUCAGUAGUACUUCACCCCAACUGACCCUGCUGCACUCCAUCACUUGGAAUUGGGAGCUUUGUCAUGCAAAGCAAUAUGCUUUGUUACUGAGCCGUAGCCCAUCCCCAGCCAUACUCUAUGAUUCCAUGAUUCUAUGAGAGCAGGCUCACUAGAACCUACAUUUAACAACUGGUAGGGACGCGGGUGGGUGGUGCUGUGGGUUAAACCACAGAGCCUAGGACUUGCCGAUCAGAAGGCCGGCGGUUCGAAUCCCCACAACGGGGUGAGCUCCUGUUGCUCGGACCCUGCUCCUGCCCACCUAGCAGUUCGAAAGCACAUCAAGUGCAAGUAGAUAAAUAGGUACCACUCCGGCAGGAAGGUAAACUGCAUUUCUGUGCACUGCUCUGGUUCGCCAGAAGUGGCUUAGUCAUGCUGGCCACAUGACCCGGAAGCUGUUUGCUGGCUCUCUCGGCCAAUAAAGCGAGAUGAGCGCCACAACCCCAGAGUCGGCCACGACUGGACCUAAUGGUCAGGGGUCCCUUUACCUUCACCUAGGUAUUGGAAGGUUUACCUGGCAAUGAUAGCAGGCGCCAACAGCAGAGCUGCAAACAGGACUAUGUCAGGGGCACUGUGGGAACAAUUAUUAUUCUUAGAUUCCGUAAUCAGCAUUCACCAUGAGGUCCCAGAACGGGUCAUAAUUUAAAAAUACAAGAUGAAUAUCAGUUAAAACAACUUACAACUAGACAAACAGGGAGGGUCUUCUUGACUCUCUAUUGCUGUAGUAUAUACAGUAAGAAUUUAACAUCAUAAGAAGAACCCUGCUGGAUCAAAACAAAGGGCUAUUUACUCUAGCAUCUUGUUCUCAAAGUGGCCAACUAGUUCCUUCUGGGAUACCUGCAUGAAACAUUUCCACUGCAGUUGCAACAGAGAUUUACUACCCUUGAUCUGGACAGUAUAUUUCUGCUGAUGCAGCCUAGAAUAGCGUUAACUUUUCUCCCUUGCUGCAUCACACUGUUGACUCAUGUUAAGUUUGUGGUCCACCAAGACCCUAGAUCCCUUUCGCUAGUAAGCCAGGUGUUCCCAAGCCUAUAUUUGUGCAUCUGGUUCUUCCUGUCUAAGUGCAGAACCUUACAUUUGUCCCUAUUGAAAUUCAUUUUGUUAGCUUGGACCCAGUUCUCCAAUCUGUUAAGGUCAUUUUGAAUUCUGAUUCUGUCUUCUGUGACAUUAGCUCCCCUUCCAGUUUGGUGUCAACUGAAAAUUUGAUGUGCAUCCCCUCAGUUCCUUCAAGUCAUUUAUAAAGAUGUUGACCAACAGCUGGCCCAGGACAGAACCCUGUGGCACCCUAUUUGUCACUUUUUUUCCAGUCAGUCAACCGGCUACAAAUCCACCUAACAGUUACCUCGUUCAACCCUCAUUUUACCAGCCUCCUCACAAUAAUAUUAUGGGGGACUUUGUCAAAAAGCCUUAUUGAAAUCAAGAUACACUAUGUUCACAGCAUUUCCCUGAUCCACCAAUUUUGUAAUUCCAUUAAAUAAAGAAAUCAGAUUGGUAUGGCAUGACUUAUUUUUGACAAACCCAUGCUGGGUCUUCAUAAUCACAGCAUCCUUUUCUAAAUUCUUACAGACUGACUGUUGAAUUACCGUAUCUGUUCUAGGACCCUCUGUGGUAUCAUUGUCAGCUCACCAGUCAAUAGUUACCUGAGUCUUCCUUUUUUCCCUUUCUGAAGAUGGGGACAACAUUUGCCCACCUCCAGUCUGUAGGGACCUCACCUAUUCUCCAAGAUUUCUCAAAGAUGAUAGACAAAGGCUUUGAGAUUACAUCCGCAGGUUCCUUUAGUACCCUUGUAUGCAGCUGAUGAGGCUAUCACCAGGUUUAACAUCACUUUCCUUUUGGCUGAAGACAGAAAACCAAAGACUGAAACCUCACAAAGUUUUCUGAUGCUUUGAAGGAAGCAACAUUGCUCUCCUUUACCAUUAAACAAAGAUUGAAGAUUUUCUGAAGAUUGAUUUAUAUGACACUUGAGCAUGGAUGUCCCAUUAUCUUGUGACCUCACCAAACUCAAUGAGAAAUACAUCAGUGGAACCUUUUCCAAAACCCAUUUGAGCCCCCCUCUUCAUAGCAAUUAGACUUGCCUUACAAUGUGAAUUACUGAUUACGUUCUGUUUUAGAGUCAUUUCAUUAUUGGCAAGAAUGGCUUUGAAAUUCAGUUGUGUUGCAGACAGCCUUGCUGUCAGUUUCAUUUUAGCAGAGCCACAUAUCUUACCCACCCAGCUCCUCUGCCACUGGCUACAUGAACUAGGAGGGAAAAGAAUGGGGGAAGGACCACAACUCAGUGCAGAAAAAGGGAACAUAUUGUAGCUCAAGGGUAACAUACCUGCUAUGCAUACAGAAGUCCCCAGGUUCAAUCCUAGGCUGGAAAGGAUCACUGCAUGUAACCUUGGAGGGUAAAAGCCAGGCAGUGCAUAUACCAGCCCUUCUGCAACCAAAUGGCUUGGACUAUAAUUCCCAUCAUCCCUGACCACUGACUGUGCUGGGCUGUGCUGAUGGGAAUUGGAGUUCAAAACACAUUGAAGGCACUAGGUUGGGGAAGACUACUGCACAAGCUGCACCAAUAGUCAGAGCUGGUAUGAGGCAAUUUCCUAUGUUCUUCUUAUUUAUUCAUUUUAUUUAUAUACGACCUUUUCCUCCAAGGAGCUCAAUGUGGUGCACAUGAGCCUCCCCUCCCCAUUUUAACCUCACAGCAACUCUGUGAGGCAAGGUAGCUUGAGAGACAGUGACAGACCCUCCUAGUGUCCCUAUUUUCCAAGGACAGUCCCAAAUUUACAGAAACUAUCCCUGUUUCUGAUUUGAUGCCAGAAUGUCCCACUUUUCCUUACGACGUCCCUAUUUUCACUGGAUAAAUGUUGAAGAGUAUGGAGUUAUGAGAUCCCCAAGCCAAGAAGAUAAGUAACUAUACAACCUUUAGAAGACAUCUGAAGGCAGUCUUGCAUAGGCAAGCUGUUAAAUGUUUAAUGUGUGUGUGUGUGGGAGGGGGGGAAGCCUGCCAGAGUGGCUGGGGCAACCCAGUCAGAUGGGUGGGGUAUAAAUAAUAAAAUUAUUAUUAUCAUUAUUAUUAUAGAAUAGGACAUCCCUAUUUUCAUCAGAGAAAUGUUGGGGGUUAUGCAGUGGCUGUUACUCAAGGUCACCCAGUGAGCUUCAUGGCUGAGUUGGGAUUCAAACCCUGGUCUCCAAGUCAAACACACCCUUACACUUCACUGGCUCUCACCUAGGUAUGCAAAAAGGCACAACCAUACAUACAUAAGAGAAGUAAGUCUGAUCUUUCUACUAGGCAGUCUGCCAGUAGUUUACAUUUUUGCACAGACUAGGAAAAUAAAUUCUCUUACCAGGGGAUGGUUAAGGUAAAAGGUAACGGUAAAGGGACCCCUGACUGUUAAGUCCAGUUGCGGACAACUCUGGGGUUGCGGCGCUCAUCUCGCUUUACUGGCCGAGGGAGCUGGCGUACAGCUUCUGGGUCAUGUGGCCAGCAUGACUAAGCCGCUUCUGGCGAACCAGAGCAGCACACGGAAAAGCCGUUUACCUUCCCGCUGGAGCAGUAGCUAUUUAUCUACUUGCACUGGCAUGCUUUCGAACUGCUAGGUUGGCAGGAGCAGGGACCGAGCAACGGGAGCUCACCUUGUCGUGGGGAAUCAAACCGCUGACCUGAUCGGCAAGCCCUUCUGUGGUUGAGGUGCAUAUGUCUAACUUUGCAUGUAGGCAGCAGGCCAGACAAGCUCUUGGAUCUUCUAUAUCAUGGGUGACACAGUAUGUAUCUUCUACAUCUCUCCACCUCCUAUCAUCCUUGAACAUUUGGAGGAAGGGCUGUUUCCCAGCAGUAGAGCAUUUGUUUUGCAUGCAGAGCAUCUCGAGAGCAUCUCAAGCACCACUAACAGUUAGUGUAAAUGAUACUGACGUAGAUGGACCAAUGAUCUGACUCAUGUCAGCUUCCUAUGUUCCAUUGGCCAUGGUGAAUGGGGCAGGUGCAGGCAUGCCAGCUUGAAUAUAGUAUGGGGAGGCAGGUAAGCCCCACCCCACAGAAUUGAUCAAAUGACAUGGUGCACACACACCAUUUGAAUGGCAAUGACCAUCAGCUUGGGGUGGGGGGGUGGGGGGGGUGGGCCCCUCAAAUAUUUUAUUUGUGGGGAAGACCUCUUGGCCCCUAUGAGUUGGCUCAUAUGGGUAGGUGGGAGUUGAAUUACAGCACCCAGAGGGCCACAGUUUCCCCAUCCCAUUCUAUGGUAUAUAUUUUGACUGCAACAGUAGGGUAGGGUCCCUUUGCAACACAGCACAGUAGAUAGCCAGUAAAAUGAGCUGCAGGAAAAUGGGAUAAUGUUACUUUCCCUGUGCUGGGAUGUCAGAACAGUGGGUGUACUUUUACUGGACAUAACUUCAAUUUGCACAUGCAAUUUUGUGCUGCCAGAAAGCACCUUUGAUGCUCUCUCAGUGUGAAUGUGUGAACAACAAGUCUGCUAUUUUAAAUGUACUGGGGUUUUUAAUCAAUUGAGGAUCCAUGUAAGAAGGAGAGUUUACAAACUGCAUUUUGAACUUCCUUCUUCUUCUUUUUUGUCACUGUUGAACAAAUGCAUCCUAUCUGAAGUGCAUUUUUAGACUUCAGCGCCCCCCCUCUAAAGUUCUAUACAUGUGGGAAUAGCUCCCUUCCCUGAUUUUAGCCUCUCCUCACUGUUCAGAAAUGUUUCUGUAACCACUGUUUAAACAAGUGUGGCCCAGUCACAAAGGCAGGAAACCCUUUGCCCAAGUACUAUCACUGUCACUGAUCAUUGGAUCAGAGUGGGCAGCUUCCAAACCUUGCAGGGGGCCAGCAAACUCGCUUCCAAGGGCCCUGCACUCCAUGGAGCGGUGUGCCAGUAAAGGCAGCAUGCCCAGCAUGAACUGCUUGAGAAAGGAGGGUGUACUAGGCUCCACUGCUGCCCUCACUGACUGACAGUGGGUCUCCAUGGUUUUGGACACAGAUUCUUUCCCAGCCCUACUUGGAGAUACCAGGGAUUGAACCUGAUGCUCUACCGCUGAGCAUGAGGCCCAUUGAGAGACACCCGUCCCCCAAGACAAUUAUCAGAUAUCAGACGUCUCUACAGGUGCCUAGAUUGUGUGUGUGUUUGUAAUAUUGAAUUUAUUCUGUUUGCCAAUUUUUUUAGAUUUUCGCCGUUUAAAAAGUUACUGAUAGGUUCUGUAUUUUGCAUAUCUGUAUUUCCAAUGCUCUGUAUUUUGACAUUUGGGCUGUUUGCUGUAAGCUGCUUGGGUUACGGUUCAUUGUGGAAAAGCUGUGUACAAGUAAACUCAGUCAGUAAAUUUCACCUCCCCCAUCCUGCUUGGACCCUCCCUAGGGUUGUCCAGCUCCAGCCACUAAGCUCCUUCCAUUCCUCCUCAUGAUCUGACCAUCUCCUUCAUGACAUUUCCAUGGGACUCAUGACAUGGAUGCUUCAGAUAUUUAAUGGAUUCCUUCUCCACCUAGCCAUCUGCCCUACCCACCCCACUUGGUGCUUUUGCACAGUGGCUCACUGUUCAUAUUACUCCAUCCUAGAGCUGUUGAUGCCUGCAGAGUUCGGAGCAUGGGAAAUCCCACCCCCCAUCUCUGCUUUCCCUUCUCAAACCAUUCCUUGUCUGAAUAAAGCAGAAAAUUAGCAAGGAAUGCUCCAGCCAUCGCUGAGAUAUAAUUCAUUCCUACCACUGUCCAUAUGUCAGGUUUGAUUUUAAUUUCAGAUAAAGUCACUGCUCGAUUAGAGGACUAUCAUCUUCAGAGAAAGGGCCAUCCCUUCCUUACUUGUAGCAGUGAGCCGCUGGAGCAAUGUGUCUUUCUUUCCCUUCUGUACACACUUGACUUUUAUGCCUUUUAAUGACUUUUAUGGUCCAUCCACCAUGCUGAUACCUCAACAACAUGGAAAGAAACACUCGCCAUCCUCUCCUACCCUUAGCUCAUCCUGUGAUUAAUUCCACAAAUGCAUUGGGCAUUAAGAAGUACAUGUGUAAACUCUGUCCCUUAAUGCUAUGUAUUAUAAUAAUAAAAAAGGAAAAAGGCUUUUUUUUUUUUUUGGUCUUUCAUAAAAACAGAGAUGCGGGGCAAUUUUUAGUCCAGGGGGUACAUUUACUCAUGGGAAGGUUUUCCAGGGGCCGUAUGCCAGUAACGAAUGUAGCAAAAUGCAAAAGUGGAUGGAGCAAUGGAUGUGACUGCUAUUUUUGCACAGUAGGCUGCAUUCUAGCCAUGCAAAACCAGAGGUCUCUGCAAGCAGUCACAAUCACACCUGUCCAUCCUCCAGGCAAGCAGGUGACAGUUCAAAAAUUCAUUCCAACCAGGGAAAAGCAAGGUGUGGCCUGAUAAGAGUUUUUGUGGUCUGGCUAAAGACUCAUAGAAUUGUAGAAUCAGAAGGGACCCCAGGGUCAUCUAGCCCAACCCCCAGCAAUGCAGGAAUCGUGCCCACAGCUGUCUCUGGGUGCUCGAAACACCAACCUUCUGGUUAACAGCCAGACACACUGACCCAUUGUGCCACUGGAGCUCCUAGCCUGGGCCUGGGCAGCUGCAUUUGGUCCCUGGGUCUGAGGUUCUCAAUCCCUUCACUAAAAUCCCCCCACUAUUUCAAGGUAGCUAACAGUGUUUUUUAAAAAACUCAGCUAGCUAUUUGUAUGCAGUGGCGAAGCUGCAUGCUCCACUACCAGGGGCGGAGAGCAGGCGGGGGCAUGGCUGGCCAGUGUGGUGUAGUGGUUAAGAGCGGUAGACUCGUAAUCUGGGGAACCGAGUUCGCGUCUCCGCUCCUCCACAUGCAGCUGCUGGGUGACCUUGGGCCAGUCACACUUCUCUGAAGUCUCUCAGCCCCACUCACCUCACAGAGUGUUUGUUGGGGGGGAGGAAGGGAAAGGAGAAUGUUAGCCGCUUUGAGACUCCUUCGGGUAGUGAUAAAGCGGGAUAUCAAAUCCAAACUCUUCUUCUUCUGGGGGCAUUGCACACUCCCUCAGGGGGCAUGGUAUGCUGCCUGCGAGGUCAUGGCACGUGUUCCGGGGGUGUGAUGUGCUGCCUGUGGGGGUGUGGCGCCCAGCGCGCAAGGGGGUGCAUGGUGUGUGUCCGGGGGUCCGCCGCGAUGGCACCCUACCAGAAUAGUGGUGCUGGGGGUGGUCCGCUCCCUCCGCAGCCCUGUUCCUCCGCCAGUGUUUGUAUGACAUGAAAGCCAUAAACUAUUAAGCACCACAGAAGGAAAACCAGAGCAGCAAUUAAACAGAAAAUCAAUUAAAAAGCACAUGAGGACACUAUUGUCUUCACCUGGUGUUGCAAACAAGGCACCUGUCAAGUGUCACUAGGGAGAAUAUUCUGCAGUUGGGGUGUCACCACUAAAGAAGCCCUAAAUGCCACUGUCUAUCUCUGAAGGCAGUGGCAUGCAAAACAGGCUCAUAUGCUAUGUGGCAAGCUGAUUAAAGUGGCCAGGGUGAACUGAAAUGCUGCCCCAUUUUUGCAGUUCCAUUUGCAUGUAGUGAAGAAAAUGACAAAAGAAUGGUUUGCGGUAGAUGAAAUGGGGUGAAAAAAGGGGGCUUUACAGACCCCAAUUUCUUUGAGAAUACCCUGCUAAAACCACUUUCCUUCCCCAUAAAAACUUACUUGGUAGUGCUAGAUAAUGAGGUCUGCUGCAGUUCGAAUAGUUCCCAGAAUGCUGCAGGAACAGUAUCAACAUUACUCAGAUAAAAAUAGGAACAUUUUUCACUCCUCCCACGUGCAUUUCCUCCCAGCAGAAGGGCGAGUGCUACCACCACUACACCAACGGGACACAGCACACACAGCCUCCACCAUCCUGAGGAAACCCCCUAAUCCUGAUUUCAUUUUAUCUUAUUCUUUGGUAGAUUUACAAAAACAAAAGAAAACCACACUAAUAAAUAAAUUUCAGAAAGGGGCAAGAUUAGACACGGAUGCACAUAGCAUUUUUAGAAAACAAAAUCAAGACAGCUUGCACUCAGUUCCACUCCCCCUUUCUUCCCACCCAGAGUGGCCCUGCCCUCUGUCCGCCCCUCAGAGCCAGCACAUUACAUAGGGCUGGGCCUCAGUGACAGCAGCCUUUCCUCCUCUCUGCCUUCCUGCCACCCAGCAGCCGCUGUGAGCCACCCAAGGGAGGAGGCUAGCAGUAGUAGCCAUGGAAGGUGCUCCCUCACAACCACCACUGCCAUCACUCAGGACAAACAUCAACUCACCUUCCUCCCUGAGCUUGGCAGCAAUGGUGGGCAAAAUAGGGACAUUCUGGGAUCGAAUCAAGAGCCUGAAAGGCUUUCAUAAUUCCGGGGCUGUCCCUGGAAAAUUGGGACACUUGGAGGGUAUGCAGUAUCUCAUAUGCUAAUAUCUCUGGGAACUGUAAUUACUUUCCUAGGGCUUCUGGAACACCAAUUCAAAGUGCUGGUUUUGACCUUUAAAGCCUUAAACAGCUCAGGACCACAGUACCGCAAGCACAGCCUCUCCCCAUAUGACCCAACCCAGACCCUACAAUCAUCAUCUGGUGUCUUUCUUUAUGUUUUUCCUCCAUGAGAAGCCUGGAGAGUGGCAACAAAAUAACAGGUCUCCCCAUGUAUGGAGACUUUCCCCAGGGAGGCUCACCUGACGCCUAAAGAUAUGUAACAUUCCUCGUCUCCCAGGUGUUUGGCUAAUUAGUCUAUGGUCUUUUUAAACCAUGUUAAGUAUGGGGAGAUAUUGUUUUGUUGGUUAUCAUGUUAUGUAUUUUUGUGUUUUUAUAUUGUAUAACUAUCCUGUGAUCCUCAGAUGAAGGGCAGUAUAUAAAUUUUAACAACAACAACAAUAAUAAUCACCUGAAAUGAUUUAGGAGCCCCGGGGAAAUGGCGUUCCCCAGGGUCUUUGCAUCCGCAAAGCAGUUGCAUGGCUCAGUAAAGGAUGCAGUAGUAAUCCUUCUCAUUGCUGCUACUGUCACCAAGUAAAUUUCAUAGGAAAGGAGAGAAGGGAAGCUGUAAUGGGAGGGUGGGCAGGUCCUGGAGAUGAGGCCAAAGAAAUUGCAACCUGAGCUUGGAUGUUGGAGAGUUACGGCUUAUAAAUUGCCCAGAAAUUUUGAACUAGGGAAAUGUGUGCUCUGGAGUUCUUAAUUCUGAACAUCUGCAUCACUGUGCUUGAUGGGAGACAGCAAGGAGGGAGGGGGGCAGGACCUGGGCUCAGUGUCCUCGUCUGAAGGCAUGCAAAACCUUUGUAUGUGUGCAUGCAAGAACCACAUUGUUAUAUUUCCCGCUCAUCACCCUUCAAGCUUCCUUGCUCAAUCUGUUUCCUGGGUUUGUUUCAGUGAAGUGGGAGGAAUGUAAAGAGAGUCACCAGGUGAUCAUAUCUUAGCUUCCCCCUGCAUUUGCCAUACCAAGCUCUGCUCUCCUUUGCUCACUUGCUCGUCACUUGAUCUGUCCCACUUAGCUUCUUCUUGAUCCCUUAGUCUUGAGCAUAAGACAAAAAGUCUAUUGAUCGUCAUUCUAUUCUUGGCUCUAUCAGGAAAGGCAGACCAGCAUGUUGCCUGAAUAGUGUGCUGUUGAAAUCCAUACCUACAUGCCCAAAUUAGAGUGACCUGGUUUCCAUUGUGCAGAAGUGGGUGCUGAGUACCGUACUUCUGGGAAUGAGAUCACUUCUUUCAUCCAAUAUUGUGGUGGGUCAAGGAUACAGCUGUUAACACACCACCCCAAUCACCAAGCAGUGAGAGACGGAUUCCAGGCACUUACACAGAGUUCUGUUUCUUUGGAAUGAAGGUCCACAGAGACUGUGGUGUCUUUAGGAUAUAGGCUUUAUUUAUACUCAUAUACAACCUGAGGGAAUGAACUCCCCAACAGAUCUUGUUUCUCCAUUGGUCAUAGCUUUAGAUCCAGCACACAGAAAACAUGUCUAUGUAUAUCCAGCUUCCAGCCUGCUUCCGGCUUACUGAAACAUAACUCUCUGGCUUUGGCUCUGCUACCAGUGGCAUGUGGUGGCCAGAGGCACCAGCUUGCGAGGGUGAUGAGCGGGGGGAACAUCCUGACAUCCUGAUACCAUGCAUGUGAGCAUUGCACCUCCCUCCCUAAGCCAGACAGAAGCUUCAUGGGCUUUGGGAAGGAGGUGUCAGGCUUUAAUACUGUAAUACGCUAAUUUACCAGGAACAUUUAGGGGACUAGCCUAGUCCCCCAGUCCACUGACCACAUGUUACUGUCCCCUAUCUAGCACCUAGGUGAGGGGUGGGGAAAGACAUCAUUACUAGCUCAUUCUUUUGGGAAUGAAGACACUUAAGUGGCCAGCUAAGGUCAUGCUUUACAAAUAAACUUGUCUGAUAAGUCCAGCAACUUCCUCUCUUAUAUUCUAACCCUCACUGGGUACAGGACUCCAAGAAUUGGAAGGGACUCAGCCCCCCCCCCCCAAAGAAACCUACAACACAGCUUUAGGGCACUGCCUGACACAUGCCAAACCUUUCCAAAGAUAAGUUCUUUGUUCAUUUCUCUAUAUCCAUUCUCUCCUGCAUUUCAGUGACUUCAGACAGGAGAUUGUAUCCAGCUAAGUAGAACCAUUGAAAUGGCUAGAGAUGAAUUACUUAGGUACAUUAAUUUCAUGGAGGCAAGCAGGGAUCAUCCCUCUAGUGUGGGUGGGUGGGUGGGUGGGUUCAACUUUACAGGGAGGGGUCGUCUCUCUGAAGUGUGUUCGUGUGCGCGUGUGCAACUUUGCAGCCUCCCAGAAGCAGAGAGGCAGGAGGGGGGCUGAACCUCUCUCCUCUUUUCCACCCACACAACUUGGGUGCAACCACAGAGGCACCAUCAUGGAAUCUGUGGAUUUGUUAUCUCCUAAUCUGUGGAUUUGUUAUCUCCUAAUCUGUGGAUUUGUUAUCCCAAACUGGCUACCCUGCCAUCCCUGCAAAGCAUAAUUAUUCCAAUGGAGUUUUGAGGCUAGAUCUGUACAGAGUAGCAAAAGAUCAGACUUCCACUACACAGAUAUGGGUAGAAUAGGUUCAGACCAUGUGCAAAGUGCAUUCUGUCAGUGCCUGGCAACAGCUGGGCUUAGGGGCUGAAGUGUUGAUGUGAAUGAGGCCAUUGUGGUUAUAUUUAGAUAAAUGUGGGGCACAUGGACAAAAUGAUACAGGAUAAAAUAUUCUGGGAAAUUCGUGGAAAAAUAUGUUUCCUGUCAGCUUGGAUAACUUUGGAUAAUGUGUUAUUAUAAAGUGGUACAUGCUUCUGUGGGCAACAACCUACUUCUUCAGAUGCUGUGUGGCGAUCUGUGGAAAACAAGGUGGGGAAGUCACCGACACAUGUAACUCAGAAAGGGAGGUAGUCAAGGCAUGUAUGUGUGUCCCACUGCUCUUCCAGCUGCUUGUUGUGCUUCCAGAAGCAGAACACUUUUGUCUUUCCAAUGGGCUCUUUGUUUGUCUACAGAAACCAGGUCAUCACUUGCAGUUGCCCAGAGAGCAACUCUAGCAUGAGCAAUGCCCUUGUGGCUGCAAAGCAGAGAACACAGGACAGGGGGCUCAUUCACACAGCACUGAGGGCAGGCCUGCAUGUGCCCUGGCUGACACUCAAUGGGGAGCCAUCACCGGCCAUGCCUAAGGACUGCAUACUGGCUUCUCAAACACAUGAUUGCUGCCACACACACAACUUUCCAUGUUGAAGGCAGGGAUUCCGAACACACUUACUGAGGAUACAAUACAUGUGCUUAGGGGGGAAGGGGUUCAAUACUGGAGUUCAGUAACUGGACUGGUCUUUCCACAGACUCAGGGAGUGCUAAUGGUCCACGGGUUAGGGGGUGCAAUACAUGCCUUGCCCAGGGUCCUGGCAACCUAUGCUACAUCACUGAUCCUGGCCACAUCCAUACUAUAUACAUUUAAAGCACUAUGAUACCACUUUAAACAGUCAUGGCUUCCCCCAAAUAAUUCAGGGAGUUGCACUCUGUUAAGGGUCCUAAGAUUUGUUAAAAGACACCUACCCCCUCCCAGAGCUACAGUUCCCAGGGUGCUUUAAGAGUCAACCCCUCUUCACAGGGCAGUCUGGGAACCGUAGCCCUGAAAGGAGACCAGGGGACACCUAAAGAGCACUCCUAACAAUUCCCAUAAUGCUUUUUUGUGGGGAGGCAUGACUGUUCAAAGGGAUAUCAUAGUGCUUUGAAUAUAUGGUGUGAAUGUAGAUUUUAUAAAGUGGGGAAAAGCAGUGGGAGAGUGGGCUCAAGCUCUGAUGGAGCCUGGGGACUCCCACCUGUGGGUCACUCCUCCUUGGGUCUCUAUGGGCCACUAUUGUUAUAACAAGCUAACCACUUAGCAUAUAUAUAGAAUGUUCAGGGCUGCUCACUGCAGCAGGAAGGUUCCAGUUGGAGACUUCCUAAUUCUAAACUUCAGUCUCGUAGCCACUACAUGGCACCACAUUUUUGUUAUUUAAAUGCGCUACAAUGUUUGUUUCCUGAAAAGUGCUUCAGAAUCCACUGUGGACAUUGUAAGUCGUAUUCAUUUUCCAUGAUCACAGCUCCUGCAGUGUUUAACCCCAAAUGUUUCCAACAAACAAGACAGCGGUGAAGUUUAUUAAAACAAGCCCUCCCUUGAUCUUUAAUCCCCUGUAACAAUUAUUUGCUCUUUGUCAUGUUAUUAUGAAGUUGUAUUACACUCCCCCUAUGGAACCUGGCUCUAUAGCAAUUGUCCCCCUCUCCCCUCCCCGUAUUAUGGCAACGUCCCUGCCUGUUCAGCAGGCACGCAGACACUUUGAUGUUUAUCGUCCCUCGGAAUUAAUGUGCUGCCGAGUUCUUUUUCAUUAGAAUGACAUUGUAUCAAAGACAGAGUAAAUCCAUCCAUCCAUCCAUCCAGCUAGGCACCGAUAAAACAUCAGAAAAUUUGAUUAAAUGGAGUUUAUAUAAAGACAGAAAUGGUUCUGUUUGGGUGUUGUUUUUUGUGUGUGUUUCAGAGUUGUUGUUUCCACAUAUAGCUGGGCUUGGGAGCUGAGCAUUAAUAUCCUGCCCCCAGCUUACCUACAUAACCAUGAAAGUGUACAGGAAGGAUUGCUAUUUAUUUAAAUUCCAAAGCACUAAUUCUUUGCCCUGAGGGAGGAACCAGGGCAUUAAGGUUAGAGGUGGUUUGCGAUGUCAGACAAUUCUGAUGAAAACAGAAAUGGGAGUGGAAAUUGCCCCUGUUUGCUUAUUCACCCUGUGUCCAGAAUGGAAAUAAAUCCAGCAAAUACGGUCCUGCUUUCAGACUGCAAACAAUACAUAUUUGGUUGUGUGUCAUCAUCCCACACUGUUCACCAUUUGCAUUGCAUUUCCCUUGCACUGAAAUGAAUAGGAUGGAAUAAUGUAUUGACUGUGUAAGUAACAAAAUUUUGCCAUAGCGGACAGCGAAGCAAAUAAUGCAGGCUUUUUUUUUUUUUUUAAAUGGAAGAUGAACUGCAGUGCAAUGGAAACAGUGCUGUAUUAAAUGAAUACAGGGUAGAAUGGAAAACCAUGCCUUCUUAUGUUGCCCUAGUGGUAGUAGAAGAAUACGGGAGGUUGGGGAUGGAGCCAGAACAGAAUGUGGAAUGUUGAGAGAGACUCUGGUGGGUUAUGGGGGCCGUUGGUGGCUGGUUCCAAUCAGGGCUGGUUGGUUGAAAGGUAGGGAGGCCAACAGUAGCUGGAGUCAGAGACAAUAACAGGCAGAGCCAGCUAAUCCUAGGUCUCAAACCUGCUUCCUGCUGAGCUCUAGAAGGGCAAGACUAAGGAGGGGGAAGCUGACAACCCGGCCCACCUGCUGGUUGGACUGUAAGUAAAGAAGGUGGGAAGGUGGGGACUAACUGAAGUUAGAUGGAGGUUGGUAAGGAAGUGCCCUAUCUGCCCCAAUUGACCAUCCUCCACUGUGAAUGAAUAGUGCUCAUGUUGCGAUUGUAACCAGCUUUGCAGAAGUAUCUGUUUUCUCAUAACUGGAGCAAGGGCACCCCAUGAGGCGCUGGCACAGGAAAGCAUCUCAACAGGCCAGAGUUCUGGGACCUAUUUCCCCACCAUUAUUAACUCACAUGGCAGUGAUAAUGGUGAUACACACAGGGCCAUUUGGAAAUGUUCCUAUUGAUUGGAAAUGAAUAAUUACUCCCUUUCCUCAUUCUCCAAGACCAUCUUGGUAAGCAGGAGAGCUGAAGCACUAAGUGGGAUUAAUAACUACUUUUCAUUACUUUUAAUGCAAACUAUUGAUUUUAAAGUGUUGUAGGGGAAUGACAGUUUAUUACAAUAAGACAAUAAAACAGACUAUAUGAAAUAAUUGAGAGUAAUCUCUUGCCUUUUCCUUUGCGACACUGGGACAUUAUGUUCUGUGCACUUCGAGACAUUUAUGGCAAAGUCUAUCCAGACGAUGGCAGCUUAACCACUCUAUAAAACAGCACUUUGGAGCCGAAGUGUUAUAAAUAAUAGGCCAUAAAGCUACUAAAUGGAACUUUAAUUUGAUUCUGUUCUGUCAUGGAAUGACAGAGAGAGGAUGGGGCAGAGGGUUGUGUGAGGUGGGGGUGGGCUUAAAGUGAUGCCAGGUUCAACUUGCAGUGGCUAGGGUGCGAUGGCAGAUGACUUCCAGGUAAAAGGGGGAGCUUAAAAAAAGGAGCAGUCCCUGAUUCUAGGAAUGGAGUCACUGUGAGUCAUAACAUCUAACUUUGCUGUAUAUCAGGGGUGUCCAACAGGUCGACUGCGAUCUGCUGGCUGACCGUGGGUUGUCCGUGGCAGAUUGUGGUUGAUAGUGAGAUCCUGAUGCGCCCCCCCCCCCAAAAAAAACUUUGGUAAAUCCAAUGGGUAGAUCACUGCCAGUUUUUUUUUUUUUUUUUUUUAAUAGUGGGAGUAGAUUGCAGUCUCUUGGGAGUUGAACAUACCUGCUGUAUAUCACUGGUGGAGAACCUUAGGCCAGGGGCUGAAUGCGACCCUCCAGGCCUCUCCAUUUGGCCCGUAUAUAUAAACACCUUUGUACAGUAGGCUCAUACACACCCACCCACUUCUGCCUCUGCUCCAGCCUACCAUGGGCACGUGGCCCCUGGAAAGCUGUGCAGAAGGAGAUGUGGCCCUUGAGCUGAAAAAGAAUCCCACUUAGCUCAGCUGGUAGAGCAUGAGACUCUUAAUCUUAGGGUCGUGAGUUUAAGCCCCACCCUGGGCAAAAGAUGGACUAGAUAGCUCUUGUGGUCCAAUCCAACUCUACACUUCUACAAUUCUGCUCUAUAAGAGGCACAUUCUAAGCUGAUGGUCAGAACAGAUCCAAAUAUCUCUCUCCCACCCAUCUUGCCAAGCAGAGAGGGUUAGAUAGGUGUUUGUGUAUGUAAGCAAGGGACAGUUUUUGACUGAGAUUUUAAAAGAUAGAUGAAUUUGGGCAUCUUGGGGUGCUGGCUGCCUCCCUGGAGACCUGAUGUGGGAACAGAGAAAUCUCUAAACUGUGUGGCUCACCCAUGCCCAAACUGGAUAUUUGUAAAUAAAUGUUACAUAAUGUUUGAUAUGCCCCCAGAGAUUCCACUGGGUAAGCAACUAUACUUGUGGAAUGUUUCCCCUCUCAGUGAAGUGGUGAUGAGAAAAAGCAUCAUAUUCCCUUUCAUGCUUUAGAUUUAUAGCAAAGGCAUGACUUUUCUGGUUAGCAUUUGGGAAGUUGCAGCUGCUCUUAGGGUGCUUCAGGACUGCUGUUUUUUUGGGGCAUGAGUCAGUCUCAUUGGCAAACCUGCCCUCUUCCCCCAUUGGACUUUUUGCAGCAUGGAAAGUGAAGGGGAAAUGGACAGGAAACUGUGGAAUAACAUUUGCUUCCUACAACACCAUCUAACCUACUUGCAAACAAAUCCAAAUUCUUGUUCAAUAAAUAGCUGAUGUGAUUUAAUCUCUCUGCAAACUGUGCAAACAGAUCAGGAUACAUGCUCUGUAUGCACGUAAUCUGGAAUUGACUGUAGUCAAUGCCGUAGACUUAUUGUCUUGCUGUCAAUACCAUUUUGAUUUCUUUGUUGUUCUAAUUAUUGGUGUAUGUCUGUGUUUGUGAUUUUUAAAUCAAGUUGUUAGCUUCCUUGUGGAUUUUCAAGUGGAAAGGAAGGAUAUAAACAAUUGAAUAAAUAAUGUGUAAAAUCAAACAAUCGGCCACUGGGGGAAGAAAAACUCAAGCAAUUCAUGGUUCAAAGGCAAAUUUCAAUCAUGUAACACCAAAAGCAAAAGUUGGUUUCAAAAAUUACAACAAAAGGCUUCUUCUACUAUACUCCCAGGAAGACAUUAGCUGUCUGCAAUUGAAAGAAAAUGGGUUUGCUCCAUUUUUUUCCUUCAUAAUCAAGCUGCUGUUCCAUUUUUUUUUAAUUUACAGAUUCUUGCUUAGUUUUUGUUUGAAAGAUUCAGCAAAAAGAAAACUCAGUAUUAAAAUGCCUUAACAAAAAUCUAUGGAGAGAUGACACUUGGAAUAUUGUGUACACCUCUGGUCACUGCACCUAAAAAAUCAAGUCAAGUAACCUUUAUUAGCAUCACAUAGGAACAUUCAGAAUACAUUCAGAAUAAAUAAGCCAGUGUGAUCCCGUCGCCAUCCCAACAGCACAGCCACCUACCAAAGGGAAGAAGAGGCAAGCAAUCUGUUUCAUCUCUGUGGGUUUCCAGCAAGGGCAGGAUCCUGUAGCGUACUUUGGCGACAAAAAAUUUAAAUAGAGGAACUUAGCUAUUGUCUUGGUGAACUCCUGGUCUCUCCCCUGUAAUAAGAAGCGUAUAACCUCUGUCUCUGGUUUCCAUGUUGGAAUACAUAGAUGGUCUAGAAAUUGAUGGCAGAGAUCAUCAUACAUUUUACAUUUAAGGGCCAUGUGCACUAGAGUUUCCACCAGGUGGGCAUAAGCCCAGAGCAGGCAGGAUUUAGUCCAGGGAAAUCCUAAAUGUACAGUGCUAUCCCAUUUAGCCGCCAAGUACACGCAGCACCAUAAAGAAGGCCUAUUUGUGGCCAUUUUAGAUCUUAAGGCUGCUUUUGACUCAGUCGACAGGGGGCUGUUAUGGUCCAAACUGGAGUCACUGGGCUUAGACCCCAGGUUACUUUACCUGAUUAAAAAGCUUUACUCAAAUAAUACCUUAUAAAUGAUAUUUUAGAAGCGGAAAAAGGUUCAGAAAACGGCAGCCAAAAUUAUCAAGGGGUUGGAGGAGCUUCCCUACACAGUUUAGGUGUAAGUAAGAGUGAGGGCAUGAUAGAAAUGUAUAAAAUUAUGCAUGUUGUGAAGAAAGUGGCUAGAGAGAAGAUUCUCUCUCUCUCUCUCAAGACUAGAACCUGGGUUCAUCCAGUGAAACUGAAUGUUGGGAGGUUCAGGACAGGCAGUAGGAACAAUCCCUUCACACAGCACAUAGUUAAAACUAUAGAAUUUGCUAAGAAAGCUGGUGACCAACUUGGACAGUUUUCCUAUGACCUUGGAAAGUAAAGGAAGGAUUGAACUCUGAUUAAUAAGAAUACACACAGAGACUUGAACCAGCAAGACUCUGUGAAGGGUGCGUAUAAUCGUGUCUCUCUGUGCUUGUCCGAUGUGCAGCCCCUGGCCCAGGCCGUUUUUAUUCACAAAAAAGCUUUUUACAGAGUGUUCGUAAGAACCAAUCAGAUUUCUUCUGAGCAUUCAAACAAACCUCAAGUGGGGACAAAGUUAAACUAUAAACACUAGUUAUCCAUACAUACUUUUGGGGUAAAUGAAUGAAUACUACAAAGGAGUGAAUACAGCAGCCCCGGAGGUCAUAAACAAUCAGUACACAUGAUAAGAAGGAUGGCCAGGAGGACCAGAUCACUACCACCUUCAUGUGAGAUCUGUUUCCUGGCUCCAAGAUUAACAUUUUAAGAUUAUAUAUAAGAAAACUACAUCAAAGAACUUGCCUACUAUCUUUAUGGCCCAGGAAGCCUGCCUGGCGAAGCAACUGCUGUGUACGCUGUGUACAUGACGUGAGGAGAGAGAAAUGGGCAGUAGGGUCAAAAGGGCCAGAGAUGCAGAGGUGUAGAUUGAUCAAAAAUCAUAUCAAAAUAGUUUAAACCCAGUCAACGCAAUGCUUUCAUUGCUGACACAGAUGGCUUACUCUAGAUCUGUUAUAAUUCCUCAUAGCAAUCCCACCUGAUCACUACAUCUCUGGAUAUUUGCACUCCUACACUUGUUGAUACAGCAUUAUCACUUAUGAGGAAAGAUUACAGUAUUUGGGGUUUUAUGGUUUAGACAAAUGGUGUGUAAGUGGGGGGAUAGAAUUGUCUAAAAUUAUUCAUGGUGUGAAGAAUGUAGAUAGGGCUCCCUUAUAACCGGGCAUCAUCCAAUGAAGGAAAAUGUUGGAAGAUUCAGGACAGACAAAGGGAAGAACUUCUUCACAUAGCACAUAGUUAAAUACUGUGUUUCAUGACCACAAGAUGCCAUCAGUUUGAAUGGCUUUAAAAGGGGUUUGGAGAAAUUCAUACAGGGCGUCAGUAACUUACGGAAAGUAAUACUCCCACUUUAGUCUGCCUUGGUCAGGCCACAUCUGGAAUACUGUGUCCAGUUCUGGGCACCACAAUUUAAGAAGGAAUGUGUGCAGAGGAAGGCAACCAAGAUGAUCAAGAGUCUUGAAACCAAUCCAUCUGAGGAACGGUUGAAGGAGCUGUGUGUGUUUAGCUUGGAAAAGAGGAGACUGAGAGGAGAUAUAGCCAUCUUCCAAUAUCUAAAGGGCUCCCCAUGGAAGACAGAGCAAACUUGUUUUCUCCUGCUCUGGAGGGUGGGACUCGAAUCAAUGGCUUCAAGUUGCAAGAAGAGAGAUUCCGUCUAAACAUCAGGAAGAUGUUUAGCUCUUCUGACAGUAAGAGCUGUUCAGCAGUGGAACAGAUUCCCACGAGAGGUGGUGAACUCUCCUUCCUUGGAGGUUUUUAAGCAGAGGUUGGGUGACCAUCUGUCAUGGAUGUUUUAGUUGAGAUUCCUGCAUUUCAGGGGGUUGGACUAGAUCACCUUUGGGGGUAGCUUCCAACUUGAUGAUUCUAUGCUGUCUCCUUGAACUAUGACAAUGCCUCUAGUGUCCCUGAAAGGAGGACAGAGGGGUGUGUGGGUGUGCGCACGCAGAAAAGCCUGCUUUUGCAUGGCUGAAAUGUAAUCUACUGUGAAGGCCUCUGGGAGGGUGUGUGACCACCAUCCUAGACAGCUUUAAAUGAGGAUUAGACAAACUCAAGGGCAGGUGGGGCUCUUCAACCUGGAAAAGAGAUUCCGACUAAACAUCAUGAAGAACUUCCUGGCAGUAAGAGCUGUUUGACAGUGGAACAGACUCUUAAGAAAGGUGAUGGACUCUCCUUCACUGGAGGAUAUUGACCAAGAAUAUUGACCAAGAUGACCAAAGGUCUGGAAACCAAGCCUUAUGAGGAAAAGUUGAGGGAGUUGGGUAUGUUUAGUCUGGUGAAAAGGAGAUUGAGAAAUAUCAUAGAAUCAAAGUAUUAUAGAAUUUGGACCACAAGGGUCAUCUAAUCAAACCCCCUGCAAGGAAUAUUUUUGUCCAACGUGGGGCUUGAACCCACUACCCUGAGCUAUUCUGUUAUGAAUGUUCUAAGGGUAAGUGUCAGGCUUGAGGAAUUCUCUCCCUCCCCUCCCGAUGGUUUCAAGGAGCUGGGAGAAAACAAGAAAGCUUUUAAUUUAGAUUUAUUCAUUCACUGUGAUAACAGAUGAAGAAUUUCAGUCUUUUUCCAUGAUGUUGAUCACUCUGGCUCCUCCUCUCUUACCCUUCCGCAACAGCCCCAGCCCCUAUGGAAGCCUCCCAUUGCCAAACAUCGCUGCGUACAUUGCUCUUGUACCCUCAACGACUGCCGUGUCCUAGGGGAUGGAGGAUCUUCUACGCUGUCUAUUGAAGUGUUCAUUGGCUGCUCUCUCCCUUCCCUUAAUUCUCCUAACUCAGCAUAGCUUGGCUGCUCACCCAUCUCUGUCUCAUUAUCUUCCUCAUAGCUUGGCUACAAUUCAAUACUGUCUCUUCCCUCCCUUUGCCUCUUUAUCCCAGUCCCUGACCGUAGGAGUGGUUUGACAGCAGAAUGGACUCCCUUGGAAGAUGGCCACCAAUCAGAAGCUGUGCCUUGGUUUCCGAACAUUUUGGAAGUCGAACCGACUUCCGGAUUCCAUUCGACUUCCGAGGUACCACUGUAACAACAACAACAACAAAACUGAGGGCCCCACAUCUGCUGCCCCUAAUGCAGGCAACCAGCCAGUAUUGAGAUGGAUUCAAUAGUCUGACUUGGUAUAAGUCAGCUUCCUUUGUUCCAGUAGUAUUUUGUAUCAGUCGUAAUCUCCAAGAACAGACCCACAAACUAAUCUGAAGAUGUCACCAAAACAUAAAUAUAUAUCUUGGGCUGCUUUGUCUUUUAACCAACACUAUCAAGCAAGUUUGUAUGUCUGUAACAAUUUGUAUUUUCUUCUCUCUCCCUCUCUCUUAUAUCUAUG